rnacentral:misc_RNA from 1 species
GAUGAAGAACGCAGCGAAAUGCGAUAAGUAGUGUGAAUUGCAGAAUUCAGUGAAUCAUCGAAUCUUUGAACGCACAUUGCGCCCCUUGGUAUUCCAUGGGGCAUGCCUGUUCGAGCGUCAUUUGUACCUUCAAGCUCUGCUUGGUGUUGGAUGUUUGUCUCGCCUCUGCGUGUAGACUCGCCUUAAAACAAUUGGCAGCCGGCGUAUUGAUUUCGGAGCGCAGUACAUCUCGCGCUUUGCACUCAUAACGACGACGUCCAAAAGUACAUUUUUACACUCUUGACCUCGGAUCAGGUAGGGAUACCCGCUGAACUUAAGCAUAUCAAUAAGCGGAGGA